AAUGAAACAAAAAGAACGGAUGGAAUCUGGAAUAUGGCCCAGGCAUUGGGCACCGUGCCUCUGAGGAUUAAGGGGGGGACACAGGAGGUGUCCAGCAGCCUGUGGUCAAGGCCGGGUUCUCUCCCAGGACACUGCCCGUGGCUUUUGUCCUUGGGUCGGCCUGCCUGGCUGCCGUGGCCACAGCUGAGGGCCUGGGAGGAGGCUGUGAGGCCGUGUGGCUGACCGAGUCACAUCUUGGGGUAAAGGGGCUGUGGCUGCGGGCCAAGACCUGUCUGCCCUCUGUAUUUCCCGCCAGGAAAUAGGACAAAGGCAGUUGCAGUAACUUUGGUUUCUGGUGCUACCACUACAGACCUGAAUCUGGGGCCAAGAGGGAGCAGCUUUCACCCCCUUCGUUCCCUCCACUCCCUACUCCACGAGGUGCAGAGAUGUAGGAGCUACCCGGAAGGCCGGCUGCCCACGGGGGUGAGAAUUGUUAGAAAGACUUCAGUCCUCCCCGGAAGAGGUCCCUGCAGGCUAAGGAACUUGCUGAGCAUCCCCGCAGCAAGCUGGCCUUGGCGGUCAUGAAGCGACUAGAGUACCUGAACCCUGCGAGGCCUUCUGUCACCCACUAGCCAGGGAAGGAAUAGGAAUCCGGGCUGUCCACCUGUCAGUAUCUACUGUGGCCCCACCAUGGGGAGGGCCCGAUGUUUGCAGAUGUAAGCUGGCUGCAGUCACUCAUCCAGCAGACGGGCAGGUGCAGUCUAGUAGACCCACCAGCACCCUGUGCGUGGACACUCACUGGAGGGUCGAACACUGAGAGCUGCGGGGACUGCUUUUACCUCACUCACUGCUUUCCUUAAAAUCCGGGUGUCCUCAGCUUGGGCCAAGUACUGAGCCUCAAACAGGGCAAUGUCUUCUUCCAGUUGCUGGGCUCGAGUGGUGAGCUGGUCCACAUACAGGUCCUGGGAAACAGGAUGAGAAGCAGCCCCGUCAGGAGGUGCCCGUGGCUGAGGGCCUGUUCUCCACCAACCCUUGAUACAAGUUGACGCCACCCAGGCCGGCCGCCACCCCUCCGGCCGGAAGCCUUCACGCAGGAGGCAAAGCUGAGCCCCUUUUUGAAGCUCCACGGUCUGGUGAUCAUUAAACAUGUGUCGAGUUUGCAGAAUACCUGCUUUUUCUUCUCGAUUUCUGCCCGGAUCCUCUCCGUCUCGGCCUUCUUUACCACUUGUGUCAUCACGCGGAUGUCGUCACGCAUGUCCUGGUCGAUGUUCUGCAUGUAGAAGAGAUGCAGGGCCAAGUUCUCCAUCUCAGUCUGCAGAGCCGCCACUGCGGGGCGCGGCGGGGGAGAAAGAGAGAGAGAGUGAGUGGGGAGGCUGUCCCAGCGUCCCCCAUGCAGAGACCCAGGAGGAAGCAGGGAACAGCCGUUCUGGGCACCCUUCCUGCCAUUUUUGGCUCACAGCCACUCAGGAAACAGGUAACGGAUGACAAACGAGUGGCAUCCCUUGCACAGAAGGGCCUGUGCAG
ensembl:lncRNA novel transcript, antisense to CCDC40